rnacentral:rRNA from 1 species
AUUGAACGCUGGCGGCAGGCCUAACACAUGCAAGUCGAGCGGUAGCACAGAGAGCUUGCUCUCGGGUGACGAGCGGCGGACGGGUGAGUAAUGUCUGGGAAACUGCCUGAUGGAGGGGGAUAACUACUGGAAACGGUAGCUAAUACCGCAUAACGUCGCAAGACCAAAGUGGGGGACCUUCGGGCCUCAUGCCAUCAGAUGUGCCCAGAUGGGAUUAGCUAGUAGGUGGGGUAACGGCUCACCUAGGCGACGAUCCCUAGCUGGUCUGAGAGGAUGACCAGCCACACUGGAACUGAGACACGGUCCAGACUCCUACGGGAGGCAGCAGUGGGGAAUAUUGCACAAUGGGCGCAAGCCUGAUGCAGCCAUGCCGCGUGUGUGAAGAAGGCCUUCGGGUUGUAAAGCACUUUCAGCGGGGAGGAAGGCGAUAAGGUUAAUAACCUUGUCGAUUGACGUUACCCGCAGAAGAAGCACCGGCUAACUCCGUGCCAGCAGCCGCGGUAAUACGGAGGGUGCAAGCGUUAAUCGGAAUUACUGGGCGUAAAGCGCACGCAGGCGGUCUGUCAAGUCGGAUGUGAAAUCCCCGGGCUCAACCUGGGAACUGCAUUCGAAACUGGCAGGCUAGAGUCUUGUAGAGGGGGGUGGAAUUCCAGGUGUAGCGGUGAAAUGCGUAGAGAUCUGGAGGAAUACCGGUGGCGAAGGCGGCCCCCUGGACAAAGACUGACGCUCAGGUGCGAAAGCGUGGGGAGCAAACAGGAUUAGAUACCCUGGUAGUCCACGCCGUAGACGAUGUCGAUUUGGAGGUUGUGCCCUUGAGGCGUGGCUUCCGGAGCUAACGCGUUAAAUCGACCGCCUGGGGAGUACGGCCGCAAGGUUAAAACUCAAAUGAAUUGACGGGGGCCCGCACAAGCGGUGGAGCAUGUGGUUUAAUUCGAUGCAACGCGAAGAACCUUACCUGGUCUUGACAUCCACAGAACUUUCCAGAGAUGGAUUGGUGCCUUCGGGAACUGUGAGACAGGUGCUGCAUGGCUGUCGUCAGCUCGUGUUGUGAAAUGUUGGGUUAAGUCCCGCAACGAGCGCAACCCUUAUCCUUUGUUGCCAGCGGUUAGGCCGGGAACUCAAAGGAGACUGCCAGUGAUAAACUGGAGGAAGGUGGGGAUGACGUCAAGUCAUCAUGGCCCUUACGACCAGGGCUACACACGUGCUACAAUGGCAUAUACAAAGAGAAGCGACCUCGCGAGAGCAAGCGGACCUCAUAAAGUAUGUCGUAGUCCGGAUUGGAGUCUGCAACUCGACUCCAUGAAGUCGGAAUCGCUAGUAAUCGUAGAUCAGAAUGCUACGGUGAAUACGUUCCCGGGCCUUGUACACACCGCCCGUCACACCAUGGGAGUGGGUUGCAAAAGAAGUAGGUAGCUUAACCUUCGGGAGGGCGCUUACCACUUUGUGAUUCAUGACUGGGGUGA